rnacentral:rRNA from 1 species
GGAUUAGAUACCCUGGUAGUCCACGCCGUAAACGAUGUCUACUAGCCGUUGGUCUCCUUGAGGGAUUAGUGGCGCAGCUAACGCACUAAGUAGACCGCCUGGGGAGUACGGCCGCAAGGUUAAAACUCAAAUGAAUUGACGGGGGCCCGCACAAGCGGUGGAGCAUGUGGUUUAAUUCGAAGCAACGCGAAGAACCUUACCAGGUCUUGACAUCCAGAGGACUUUCUAGAGAUAGAUUGGUGCCUUCGGGAACUCUGAGACAGGUGCUGCAUGGCUGUCGUCAGCUCGUGCCG